GAAGGAGGAUUCAUAUACCAUCUGCACCAGAGUCCUAAAUGUCAUGAAUGAAAUGCUAAGUGAGAACACCAAAGAACAGAAGAAUGGAUCGUCUCCAAAUCACUGUCUGUGCUCUUCAUCUCCACAACACCAACUCAAGACCAAGAGACAGUCACACCACACUCCACUGAAUCCACGGCUCUAAACCCUGGGGCUGGAAGAGGAUCCAAAGCUGGCAUCAGGUCUCACCCACUGCAGGGAAGAUAGAGGCACCAGCCACUUGGUGGCAAAGAGCUAUGAGCUGCUAGUGAAGUUGGUUAACCUCACUGACACUCAGGUCCUUGAUUGACAUCGUGGGAGUUUUUGUGAGACACAAGGUGAUGACGUGGUUCAUGGUGAGCACUAACUCCCGACUCGGUCUCUUCAGGAAGAGCAGUGGAUUCUGGUGUGAACUGAUGCUUAUGCACACCUGAGAAUUUCAAAGACCUUCAGGGUUUCAAACACUCCUGGCGCCUUGCCCCUACAGGGUGGGGAAUUGAGAGUCAGUGCCCAGAGCUCAGCCUUCAAGCUGGUUCAGCUACGUCACUGUGGCCUGUGACGUAACCCCACCAAGGCUUCGUGCUCCUAGAUGUAAAGAGGGGCUGCCUCAAUACCUACCUCCUAGGGUGGGUAUGUCACUAGAAUGAGAUGCCCCAGCAGAGCUCCUGCACAGAGCAUGGCGCAUCAUAAUCAACGCCAGCAAUCUGAAGAAGGUGUUUGGAGGACUUUGCUGGCAAAUGAGAUAGUACAGCACUCAAGGGAGACCUGCGAGAACCCUGUGCUGGGGAACAACAGGUGACUUCAUUUUACAGGGGGAGUCCUGGGCUCAGGUGCGAGGCAGCGGAUGGAGGCAGAACCUAGCACCUUGGGAACAGGUGCUGAGGUUCUAGCAAGACAGUGGGCUAACGGGAGGACAGUAUCUGGGGAUGUCUCAGGGGAUCCCAUGGCCACAGAGAAGGGACAUGUGUCCCAUGCAGCUGAGCAGAGCAGCCAUAAUAACGCUGCACACAACAUGGCUGGCACCUGCCCAGUCAGGUCACCUCAGCUGGACUAGAACCCAGGCGUUCUGAUCCCAGAGCCAGCUUGCUCCUGUCCUGGUCUACCCGCUGCGGGCUGGGUAGGUGAGCUCGCCUUGGUUCAGACACUGGGAAGGAGCCCCCUGCUUGAACAUGAUUAUGCAGCAUUUGUGUUUCCCAUAGUUUCCUUCAGAGACCAGGACCGAUUAUAACUAAAGGCUGUUGAUCCUGAACAUAAGUGAGGGGUUUCACAGACCCUGGGAACCACGGCAAUCACAGGUCCUGCAGGUGCUGUGGCCUUGAAGCCCGUGGGCAGAAGCCUUGGGGACUCAUGGCCACACUAAAGCUUGUAGCUGCUCUGAACAGUUGUGCAGGUCGAACUCCUUUCCUUUCUGAGGCUUCUGGGCUCAAGGAUCCUCCUGUCUUAGCCUCCCAAGUAGCUGAGACAAUAGGCACAAGUCACCACACCUGUUUUGAUCUUAAAUUCUGACUCUCCUUUGGCCAAAUGCAGAGCUUUCAAUCACAUUUUUCUGACUGUGAAUUGUUUUGCCAUCAAAGGAAAAAUAAAUCUACAGAGAAAAA